CACGUAGGGCGCAAGCGUUGUCCGGAAUUAUUGGGCGUAAAGAGCUCGUAGGCGGUCUGUUGCGUCCGCUGUGAAAACUCGGGGCUUAACCGUCCGCGCGCAGUGGAUACGGGCAGACUAGAGGUAGGUAGGGGAGAAUGGAAUUCCCGGUGUAGCGGUGAAAUGCGCAGAUAUCGGGAGGAACACCGGUGGCGAAGGCGGUUCUCUGGGCCUUACCUGACGCUGAGGAGCGAAAGCGUGGGGAGCGAACAGG
rnacentral:rRNA from 1 species